GAUGAACGCUGGCGGCGUGCCUAAUACAUACAAGUCGAGCGAACAGACGAGGAGCUUGCUCCUCUGACGUUAGCGGCGGACGGGUGAGUAACACGUGGAUAACCUACCUAUAAGACUGGGAUAACUUCGGGAAACCGGAGCUAAUACCAGAUAAUAUAUUGAACCGCAUGGUUCAAUAGUGAAAGACGGUUUUGCUGUCACUUAUAGAUGGAUCCGCGCCGCAUUAGCUAGUUGGUAAGGUAGCGGCUUACCAAGGCGACGAUGCGUAGCCGACCUGAGAGGGUGAUCGGCCACACUGGAACUGAGACACGGUCCAGACUCCUACGGGAGGCAGCAGUAGGGAAUCUUCCGCAAUGGGCGAAAGCCUGACGGAGCAACGCCGCGUGAGUGAUGAAGGUCUUCGGAUCGUAAAACUCUGUUAUUAGGGAAGAACAAAUGUGUAAGUAACUAUGCACGUCUUGACGGUACCUAAUCAGAAAGCCACGGCUAACUACGUG
rnacentral:rRNA from 1 species